UACGGGGGGAGCAAGCGUUGUUCGGAUUUACUGGGCGUAAAGGGCGCGUAGGCGGCCACCGCAGGUCGGUUGUGAAAUCUCCGGGCUUAACCCGGAAAGGUCAACCGAUACUGCGGGGCUAGAGUGCAGAAGGGGCAACUGGAAUUCUCGGUGUAGCGGUGAAAUGCGUAGAUAUCGAGAGGAACACCUGCGGCGAAGGCGGGUUGCUGGGCUGACACUGACGCUGAUGCGCGAAAGCUAGGGGAGCGAACGGG
rnacentral:rRNA from 1 species